GCAAGUAUUCUUCUUAGUAGUUACAAUUCUGACUUCUUAGUAGUAGUACUUGCCUAGAAUAAAAGACGAGUGCUAGUGCGAAUUGGGCAUUCUGCCUUGUUUAUAUUAUUACAUUCGACAGCUAGCAUAUUAGUUGAUUAGUUAGAGAUGUUAAUCGGGGAUGCUGAGCACCCUUGAAUGUUGUUAGUCCAUGCCUCUUUCCUGUAUUGUUUAUCUUGUUUAUUUUAUUUUAUUUUCCCUCUUAACAUUGGGAAUUUCAUGAAAGGAUCCG
rnacentral:lncRNA from 1 species